UGCCCAGUGCUCUGAAUGUUAAAUCGUAGUAAUUCGAGUAAGCGCGGGUAAACGGCGGGAUUAACUAUGACUCUUAAGGUAGCCAAACGCCUCGUCAGCUAACUGCUGACGCGCAUGAAUGCUCCUCGAUCGGUGUCAGUAAAACUUGCUCAGAGUGAAAGGGGUCUGGUGAAAAGCCCUAGUCGCCGAAGAAUGGAAAGAAACCUGAUUACCAAAACUCUGGAGCAAGCAAACAAUCGAAGGAUGGUAUUAAUAAUAAUUGGCUUUGUAACAAAUUCGCAUUAGAAAUAAACUGGUCGAGGACUCAGGGCUCACCUAAGUGCACGGAAAAUGCACAGUACAUUCAUGCUAUAACACACACUCACCGGGGGUCGGAUCCUUUCCUAAACGCUGGUAAGGAGAACUCCCCCAGAGGGAGGCGGCCCAUGUGGGAGGGUGGGUGGAGUAGCAAAUUGUAGCUGACGCGCAUGAAUGGAUUAACGAGUAUCCUGACCGACCAUCAAAACCGUCGAACUGGAACUGGUACGGACUCGGGGAAUCCGACUGUCUAAUUAAAACAGAGGAGACAGAUGGUCCUUGCGGACGUUUACUGUCUCUGAUUUCUGCCCAGUGCUCUGAAUGUUAAAUCGUAGUAAUUCGAGUAAGCGCGGGUAAACGCUGGGAGUAACUAUGACUCUCUUAUGGUAGCCAAAUGCCUCGUCAGCUAACUACUGGCGCGCAUGAAAGCUCCUCGAUCGGUGCCACCUCCACGUGGUGAGGA
rnacentral:ncRNA from 1 species